UCGAGAAUUUUUCACAAUGGGCGAAAGCCUGAUGGAGCGACGCCGCGUGGGGGAUGAAGGGCUUCGGUCCGUAAACCCCUGUCAUUUGUGAACAAUGCUUACGACCUAAUACGUCGUGAGUUGAUAGUAACGAAAGAGGAAGGGACGGCUAACUCUGUGCCAGCAGCCGCGGUAAUACAGAGGUCCCAAGCGUUGUUCGGAUUUACUGGGCGUAAAGGGUGCGUAGGUGGUGAGGUAAGUCUGAUGUGAAAUCUCCGAGCUCAACUCGGAAAUGGCAUUGGAAACUACCUUGCUAGAGGGUUGGAGGGGGGACUGGAAUACUUGGUGUAGCAGUGAAAUGCGUAGAUAUCAAGUGGAACACCAGUGGCGAAGGCGAGUCCCUGGACAACUCCUGACACUGAGGCACGAAAGCUAGGGGAGCAAACAGGAUUAGAUACCCCCGUAGUCC
rnacentral:rRNA from 1 species